rnacentral:rRNA from 1 species
UACGUAGGGGGCAAGCGUUGUCCGGAAUCAUUGGGCGUAAAGAGCGCGUAGGCGGUCCGGUAAGUCCGCUCUGAAAGUCCGGGGCUCAACCCCGGGAGGCGGGCGGAUACUGUCGGGCUAGAGUCCGGAAGAGGCGAGUGGAAUUCCUGGUGUAGCGGUGAAAUGCGCAGAUAUCGGGAAGAACACCCGUGGCGAAGGCGGCACUCUGGGACGGUACUGACGCUGAGACGCGAAAGCGUGGGGAGCGAACAGG